rnacentral:rRNA from 1 species
UGGGCCUAUCCUGCAGUCGAGCGAACAGACAAGGAGCUUGCUCCUUUGACGUUAGCGGCGGACGGGUGAGUAACACGUGGGUAACCUACCUAUAAGACUGGGAUAACUUCGGGAAACCGGAGCUAAUACCGGAUAAUAUUUCGAACCGCAUGGUUCGAUAGUGAAAGAUGGUUUUGCUAUCACUUAUAGAUGGACCCGCGCCGUAUUAGCUAGUUGGUAAGGUAACGGCUUACCAAGGCGACGAUACGUAGCCGACCUGAGAGGGUGAUCGGCCACACUGGAACUGAGACACGGUCCAGACUCCUACGGGAGGCAGCAGUAGGGAAUCUUCCGCAAUGGGCGAAAGCCUGACGGAGCAACGCCGCGUGAGUGAUGAAGGUCUUCGGAUCGUAAAACUCUGUUAUUAGGGAAGAACAUACGUGUAAGUAACUAUGCACGUCUUGACGGUACCUAAUCAGAAAGCCACGGCUAACUACGUGCCAGCAGCCGCGGUAAUACGUAGGUGGCAAGCGUUAUCCGGAAUUAUUGGGCGUAAAGCGCGCGUAGGCGGUUUUUUAAGUCUGAUGUGAAAGCCCACGGCUCAACCGUGGAGGGUCAUUGGAAACUGGAAAACUUGAGUGCAGAAGAGGAAAGUGGAAUUCCAUGUGUAGCGGUGAAAUGCGCAGAGAUAUGGAGGAACACCAGUGGCGAAGGCGACUUUCUGGUCUGUAACUGACGCUGAUGUGCGAAAGCGUGGGGAUCAAACAGGAUUAGAUACCGGGGGAAGUCCAAAAA